rnacentral:rRNA from 1 species
CGGGAGGCAGCAGUAGGGAAUCUUCCACAAUGGGCGAAAGCCGGAUGGAGCAACGCCGCGUGGGUGAAGAAGGUCUUCGGAUCGUAAAACCCUGUUGUUAGAGAAGAAAGUGCGUGAGAGUAACUGUUCACGUUUCGACGGUAUCUAACCAGAAAGCCACGGCUAACUACGUGCCAGCAGCCGCGGUAAUACGUAGGUGGCAAGCGUUAUCCGGAUUUAUUGGGCGUAAAGAGAACGCAGGCGGUCUUUUAAGUCUGAUGUGAAAGCCUUCGGCUUAACCGGAGUAGUGCAUUGGAAACUGGGAGACUUGAGUGCAGAAGAGGAGAGUGGAACUCCAUGUGUAGCGGUGAAAUGCGUAGAUAUAUGGAAGAACACCAGUGGCGAAAGCGGCUCUCUGGUCUGUAACUGACGCUGAGGUUCGAAAGCGUGGGUAGCAAACAGGAUUAGAUACCCUGGUAGUCCACGCCGUAAACGACCCCUAAAGGGUGUUGGAG